CCACGAUGCCACGGUUUAACUCACAGCAUCACACGUAGCCUCCCACCGCUCAGCCUAAGCAGUUUCUUAUCCCUUCACGGACUCUCUCCUCCACUCAUUUUUUCUCCUCUCUCUAAAUCAGCACAGGAUACGGGAGGGCAGCAGGGCGGAGGGGCGUCGCGGGAGGCUCCGUCAGGACGCCUCCGACGAUCGUGAGGAGGCACGUCGCGCCGCGGGAGGAUCCACGACGCCGCCACCGACAAGCGCGACGAGGCGCUUCGCGUCGCGGGAGGUUCCGUCACGCCGCCGCCGAGCACGAGGAGACGUGUCGCGUCUCAUGAGGCUCUGGCACGCCGCCGGCGACGAGCACGAGGAGGCGUGCCGCGUCUCGGGAGGUUCCGCCACGCCGGCGACGACCAGAAGGAGGCACGCCGCGUCUUGGGAGGCCCCGCCGCCGGCGACGAGCACGAGGAGGCGCGCCGCGUCUCGAGAGGCUCCGCCAUGCUGCCGGAAACAAUGACGCGAGUCGCCGGCGGCUCCUCCACCAAACGUCUCUGACGAGCGCAACGAGGCGCGUUGCGGGAACCCUCCACCAGGACGCCUCCGACGAGGACGACAAGGCGCGUCGUGGGAAGCUUCCCUCGCUGGACACAGCCUGCACCACCGCACCACGCCUCCGCCUCUCCCGUUUCCCCGUUGCCAUGGUGCUCGGCCGCGCCCGUACUCGCUCGCCCGAAAAUCCUAGCCCCGCCUUGGGCUUGGUCGCCGGCGUUGCUCAGACGCUGCCGCACCUCCGGCUGAUCCUCCUCGUGGAGCAGGUAUUCCUUUACUUUGCCUGGACCUCAUGGAGCCCGAGCUCCUUCUCCACUACAUCGACGCCGGCAUCCACCUCCUGGAACCUCGCUUCGGCCAUGUCGUCCCUUCCCAUCGGUGGGUGGUUGGUGGUUCACCGUCGGGGAAGCUGAUGAGGUAUCCUCCACUCUGGCUUCCGGCUCAGUCGUCGCGGCAGCAGGCGCCGAUCUGGCCACCCCACGACAUCGGAAGGGAGUUGGGGUCGUGGAGCCAUCACCGGCAUGGAGAGGCGGGACAGUGAGCAGGGAGCGGCGAGGAGGUGACGCCCAUGUCAACCACAGGUGCGGAGGCCACCAGCGGCAGCGAGCAGCGUCGGUCCACAGUUACGUGCGUGCCCUACUGCGUCUGGGUAGCCUCUCUCUGUUCUUCCUCUCCCGCCUCACUUGCCCUCUUUCUCUGUCAGUGAGCAGAGGGGCAGCGCACUAUUGCAUCUAGACCUCCGUCUGCACGUUUGUUUGUCCAUCGGGUGAGGAACUUCUAAAACAUGAAAAAUGAAAUUGCAAGGUGUACUAUUCUGUGAUGUUCCAGGAUUCAAAUCGUGGAAAAGGAGCCUGCCACUAAAUUGUUCUGUCCAUGAGUAUGCCAUCCUCAAGAUGUCUAUGCAGGCAAGAACUUCAUGCUUUCUUGCUCUGGUUGGUGGGUCAGAUGAGCUUGCAAUAUCUCUGAGUUGUGCACAAGAAGACCUUUUGUGUAGGUUUAUUCUUGAGGGACAUGCCCGACGAGGAUAUUUCGAGGUGAUGAAGUAUUCAGCAUUCGACUCAUCCUUUCUUUCUUUGACAUAUGGGUGCACAAUAUUGAUCUCCUUUUCUGUUUUACUCACCCGAGCGGCAACACGAAGCUGCAGUUGCUGAAAAUAGCGGUGCUAGCAUGAGGAUCACAUGUUCGUCUGUCUCUUAUUUCUAUCUCUUUUGGUAUAUCUUUCUCAGUCCUGAUACCUUUUGAUGAUACAGUUUUUCAUGUUUGAGUUGAUCAUUCAGUAAGAUCAAGCAACAUAAUGCUACAACUACUUCUUACAGUUCCAGGUUGUAAUCACAUCCUUUGAGUUGUUGUUGUGUUAAGCUUCUGGUUCAUCUUUUUGUACAAUCUGUUUCGUUCUGCAGUUAGCCAAGAUAAAUAUGAAUAUCAAAAGGGUUGUUGGAUAUCGGCAAUGGUGCAAUAAAUUUUGGAAUGCCAUUCGAUUUGCAAUGGGCAGGCUUGGUGAUCAUUACAGUCCACUAGCAAUUAUCGUUGUGUCUCCAGUGCCUCCAAUCUGCAAAUAGAUACUCUCAGUAUUUAAUAAGGCUAUUGCAAUUAUUUGAACUGGUUUAAGGCGUGAUCAGAAGUCCUCCAGCUUAUGGAUUCCCGAAACUCCGGCGUGGAGCAGUGCCAAAAAGUCUAGCUUCACGGAGCCAGAUUCGAGAAGCCUGCCCUAUUUGAUGUACAAAUAUACAUUUAUAAGUGGAUCUGAUUAAAGGGGCAUUGGCACCAUUGGCAUCUUGAUGGCAGAGCAAUGAUGCGCAUCCACUGGUUAUAGAGAGAAAUGAGGUCAAUUAUAUCAGUGCAAAUAUCAAGAAGGUGCAUCAAAAGUAUGGAACUGUGUGCGCUGCCGACUUCACUCACCACUAUAAAGUUUUGGCCCUAAUAAGACCAGUUCAUAUUAACACUAUGUGUACCUGUCUCACCUAUCUAUCUUGUUUCGUAAGAUCAGGUUUUUGAACACAUGUAUCUAUUUGGUAGAUCACCGGUGGUUUUUUCCAUAUAGCUUCAGCACUGGCGCGGCGUGCCGCCGCGCCCUUCUUUUGCUAGUACAAUAUAUCCCUCAAGAUUAGAGAUUUCUUGUACGUCUCGAGCAUAUUAGUGAACUUGGUUUGGCAGAACCGUUGUUGCAAGAGAGGACUUCUUUCUAA